CCUACGGGCGGCAGCAGUGGGGAAUAUUGGACAAUGGAGGCAACUCUGACCCAGCGACGCCGCGUGGGUGAAGAAGGUUUUCGGAUUGUAAAGCUCUUUCAGCUGUGACGAUGAUGACAGUAGCUUCUUAAGAAGCCCCGGCUAACUCCGUCCCAGCAGCCGCGGUCAUACGAAGGGGGCAAGCGUUAUUCGGAUUUACUGGGGGUAAGGGGAGGGUAGGCGGAUUGGAAAGCUAGAGGUGAAAUCCCAGAGCUUAACUUUGGAAUUGCCAUUAUAACUUUUAGACUAGAAUGACAGAGAGGAUAGUGGAAUACCCAGUGUAGAGGUGAAAUUCGUAGAUAUUGGGUAGAACACCAGUGGCGAAGGCGACUAGCUGGAUGGAAACUGACGCUGAGGCUCGAAAGCAUGGGGAUCAAACAGGAUUAGAUACCCUUGUAGUC
rnacentral:rRNA from 1 species